AAGACUGUACAAACUCACAGGGGCCAUGUCCACCCAGGCACAUCAUCAGAACCAGGGAGCACAGCCUUGCCACCUGGAAGGGGCCUCAGCAGCCGUGCAACUUUCUUUCCCUAUCUCCAAUCCAGAGAGGGAUCCUCUAACAUUCUCUAGCAACCUCAUCUGCACCCCCACCACCUUCCUUGUAAGAAAGACCACGUGUGACUAAAAUCCCUUCACGCUGCAUUUACCCAGGUUACUAUUGCACGCGCAGGAUGUUUUCACAGUGUUCUCAGCCUUUGCUCCUCCAAACAGAAAACGUUUCCCCUGUGUUACUGUUACUUCCCUAUUUUUGAGUCCUGGGGUGACUGUCUCUUAAAUGUGCCAAGAUGUGAGCAAGCUUUAAAACAUGACAGCUCAGUGUUAAGGGGACAGAAAGCUUCCUCUUUCUCUGUUCUAUUGCAACUACAAAUUCCACAGUCAUGCCUAAGAUCCUUUAGCUAACACCCUUUUCAAGAAAUCAUCAGACUCUUGGAUUGACUUAGAAUUCAUUCAUUCAUUAAGUGCUUACCAAGUCCCCACUCUGUGGCAAGCACUGUUCUAUAUCAACUUCUCAUGAGUUCAGCCAAUUCUAGGUGCACCAGCCAAGGAAACUUCAUGCCUGCCCUCUCUGAGCUCCAUACUCUGAGGUGGUGGUCUUAUCAAGAUGGGAUCGCCUUGUACAUCCCUGUGUAGCCAAGUGGAAGGCCAGCCAACCAAGAAUGCAUCUCACUGGGCCUAUGGGACAUACUGUGCCUGCACUGCUCCUCCACGUGACUGCAUCAGGUUAAACUGGUCAGAGCCCUGGAUGAGGAGCUGGAAAACAUGCAUCCAGUCCAAGCUCUGCCACUUGGGCCAAGUGUGCUCUUGAACAGUCACUUAAUAUAUCUGCUUUGAUUUGUCUUUGAAAGAAAAUAUGGAGGCAGGAAUACCAGUGUCAGUGUAGCCUGCUUCUUGAGUGUUGGCGCAAGUGAGAUAAUGUAUGAAUCAGUAAAAUGCUGGGCAAAGCAAAGAAGUAGGGCUGCCUGGGAGUGGAUUCCUUUUUAUGGUGAGUUAAGACGACUUCACAAUUGUUAGCUGUGAUGCCUGCAGUGUUUGAGGAUGGCAUUGCCUUCAUCCUGUGUCAGUUCUGAAGAAGUUGGCAGAGCAAAGCUAAGCCUCAAGUGUAAAUCCCAGCAUCAUGGAACGCAAAUGGAUGUGCUUUUGUUUUAGGAUCUUCUUGCUGAUUCCUACCCAGAGGACUUCCCCAGCCUAGAGACCAGAAACCUGGGCAAGAGUUAUAUCUUCAAUGGCCCUAGGAGUUGUUGUGUCUCCUUGGGGAGGACAGAACCUUCUAAAACAGGCCAGAGACAGGAGGUACUUGGAGGGCCAUGGGCUCACCUGCAUCUAUGCCCAGAUAACCUCUGUCCCAAUCACUUGCUUUGCCUGGUCUCUCAAGGAGUCUCUUGGUACCCCAGGCCCACGGCCAGCUCCAUGCUCAUCCCUGUCUCCACCUUCCAGUCUUGAUGAAAACCGACCUUCUCUUUCAUCCCUUGGCUGCUUGAUAAGACUUAAAACAAUUCCCUGAUUUUAGGGAAGGCCACUGCGUGCACAGAUGGUGAGUUUGUGCAGGCAAGGAAUGUGCCCUCCACGUCACGUGGCCUCCUUGCCCAGCCUGGGUCAUGGGAAGGGAGUGUUGAAUUGAACCACGUCUUUCGUUGGUAGAUUAUGUUCAUCUUCAAUGUUUCUAUUAAGUCUAAAAAGUGGAUACAAAUGGUGCCUCCAAGUUCUUGUCUAAUUGCUUGUCUACUGCUUGACAAAAUCCAGAAUGGAAUGGGCCAAACAAGUUAACCAGCAGGACAGAAACUGCUCUAAGCCCAUUAUUCCUUGAGAUGAAUAGAACAGUGAGCUGAACGCCUGCUCUAAUGAAGCCACUAAAGGGGUUUACAGGAAGGUUAGGAGCCCAGCUGGGUUUUGAGUCCACUGCUGGGAAACAGAUUCUUCACUUCCUGUGGACCCUGGAGAAGCCAUCAGAUUACAUUAACAUGGCUCCACUGAUGAUGGCCUGAGAAUUACUACUGUUUGUGUUUCAUCUGUGUCCUUGCCAGGUCUUCCCCCACAUCCUUACUUCACAGGAUCAGGGGCUGAGAGGAGACCAAUACUCUGGCCCCGGCCUGGUCAAGGGAUGCUGGUUGUUGCUGAUGCAAAGUCACAUUGCCUGGUCCUGAGCUUGGCAAUCAGGCAUCCAGAGAUGGCCAAACCAAAUAUCCCUUUGGCCAGGCACUCAGGCAUUCCCUAUAAUGUUGUGCACUUAAAGCAUCUUGGGCUGAUAGUCUCCACCGAAUCACAGAAGAAAGAACUCAAUCUGCCGCAUCACUCACCAGCUGGAUAAGCCAUUUACUGUACACAGUGUUUGCCCUCUUAUCAAUACAUUGGCACAGAACCAUACACCGUAGAAGCUGCUGUGAUCACUAAAGGCAAUGCCCGUUUAGCCCUGAGCUCAGUGCUUGGCAUGUGGUAGGCAGGUUUGUGUCAGCUCUAACUGAUGGAGUAUGGUGGAGGUGAUGCCAUGCAACUUCCAAGGCAAAGGUAUAAACAAGAUGCAGCUUCUACAUGGCUCUUGCGAUCCUGGGAUGCUCAUCCUGGGAAUCCAGACACCAUGUUGUGAGGAGGCCCAGGCCACAAGGAGAGGCCACCUAUAAGCAUUCAGGCCAGCAGCCCCAGGUGAGUUCCCAGCCAACAUCAACGGCCAGAUGUAUGAGUGAAUGAUCUCACGUGGUCCCAGCCUUUGCAUGACUUUGCAUGACGCCAGCUGAUGCCAAGUGGAACAGAGAUGAGCUGCCCAUUCCAAUCUCUGCCCACAUUGCAGAUUCAUGAGAAAAAUAAAUGUCACUGUUUGGGGGUGAAUCAUGACACAGUUACAGUACUUGAAACAUUUUGCGAAGCCAGGCAUGAAUGUCAUAUGAAAUUGUAAUAAAUCCAUUUUAUUUGUGGCACCACAAUAUUAUCAUUAAGCUCUCUUUUUACACAGUCUGCAAUUUGUAUCAGCUGCCCCAGUGUGACUCUGCCCUUACUUUAGGAACAACCUUUUGCUGGGUGGUGUCCUAGAAGGUCUGGGCCUGGGCAGCAGCCACUGGGAAGCCCACCUGUGCUUUCCCCCAUCUGGGUGGGGCGGCAGCAGAGACCCUGAGAAUCAGCGGUUAUGGGAGCUGUGUGUUAGCUGUGUGUUAUUGGCUUUGGCUUCAGCAUGUCCUGCCUAGGAGUCUCCAGCAGCUGUGGUUUCCUUGGACUGGAGGCUUUUUCUCCUGAUGACAAUCGUGACAGGUCCAUCAGGCAGUGCCUUGAUGAUGUUCCAGGCUUCAAACCGUGUGAGGCCCUGCAUGGCAGUGCCAGCCAGCUGCAAGAUUUCAUCUCCAGGCUGGACUGUCUCACUUUGUUCUGAGGCUGCUCCUGAAAUGAGGGAGAAGACAAUGGGUUCCACAGAUGAUGGGGAACAAGGAAAGUUGCCUCCUCUCCUUGAUCUCCAAAGAGCCAGGAUAGCUUGGUAGAGAACAGGGCACCAUCCCUUGGGAGCUUGCUUGUUGGCAGUUCUAAAAUGAGGCAUCUCUUAAGAUGGUGACUCAGAGGUUAGGGCACCAGGCUCCAGCUCUCCAUGGCCUUUGGAAAGGGAUAGCCCAUGCUGUCCCCAGGGGAGGGAAAUAUCAGGCAGCUCCACGCCUUAGCCUGCCUGGAGCACCGUCCAUAGUUCAUAGAGGACUCUG
rnacentral:lncRNA from 1 species